GGUUGAGUAGCUUAGGUGGUAGAGCGCCUGCCUAGCAAGCAUGAGGCCCUGGGUUCAAACCCCAGUACCACCA